rnacentral:rRNA from 1 species
UAGGGAAUCUUCGGCAAUGGGCGAAAGCCUGACCGAGCAACGCCGCGUGAAUGAUGAAGGCCUUCGGGUUGUAAAAUUCUGUUAUAAGGGAAGAACGACUUUAGUAGGAAAUGGCUAGAGUGUGACGGUACCUUAUGAGAAAGCCACGGCUAACUACGUGCCAGCAGCCGCGGUAAUACGUAGGUGGCGAGCGUUAUCCGGAAUUAUUGGGCGUAAAGAGCGCGCAGGUGGUUGAUUAAGUCUGAUGUGAAAGCCCACGGCUUAACCGUGGAGGGUCAUUGGAAACUGGUCGACUUGAGUGCAGAAGAGGGAAGUGGAAUUCCAUGUGUAGCGGUGAAAUGCGUAGAGAUAUGGAGGAACACCAGUGGCGAAGGCGGCUUCCUGGUCUGUAACUGACACUGAGGCGCGAAAGCGUGGGGAGCAAACA